rnacentral:lncRNA from 1 species
AGUAGUCAGAACCUCCAGACUGAGCAUGUCACAAGGAAGGACUGCUUUGCUGAAGCCACUCACUCCGGGAGAUUUAUAAUUGGAAGUUUGGCCCAGGGAGAUAAUCAGCCAAGAGCGCGCACGCACACACACACACACACACACACACACACACACACACACACUCUGAAGAAACCCAGUGGAGAUUCAGCACUAACCCACCACACACACACACACACACACACACACACACACACACACUCUCUGAAGAAACCCAGUGGAGAUUCAGCACUAACCCAGCACAGAAGAGGAGAAGAGACAUACAGAGGACAAGGCCAUGUCACAACAAGUGGAGACUGGAAUUAUGCAGCCACAAGCCAAGGAACCUCUGGAACCACCAGAAGCUGGAAAUGGCAGAGCCAGACCUUGAUUUCAUGCGAGAAGGUGGAGUAGGAGGAAGAGAAGGAGGAGAGUUAGAAGGAGUAGGAGGAGGAGGAAAACCUCCUGGCUCGUCUGAGUAUAUUCCUAGGUGAUGGCAGAGGGGCAAGAAAGCAAGCAAAAAGAAGCACAGAAGCCCUCUCAUGGCCAAAACUGGCUUGGUGUCACUUUUACCUCAUUCUAUUGGUCAAAAAAAGUCAACAGGCUGAGCCCAGAGUCAGAGUGGGAGAGUACUGCAUGGUUACAUGACAGAGGAUGUGGAUAUGAGGAAUCGUGAAGAACUGCAUCCAUUAGAGCCAUCUGUCACAGAAGGGACUAUUGUCAUUUUACUAAUUUUGUACAUGAGGAUAGGGAAGCAUGGAGAUGGUAACAUGCCUAAAGUCACAUAGCUUCUUAGCUGUGGAACCAGAAAGUAAACCUGGGCCUUCUGGGCCCAGGGCCCGUGGCUGUUAAAACCACUGUGCACACUGCCUUACUCCUACCCUUCACAAUCAGGUUUCUGCUCUGACCACCCUAGAAAACAUGCCCGUCUCAGGUUACCGAUGCUCUCCUAUGGACAGAUCCAAUAGCCUUUGUUAAUUGUCCACAUCUCUAUCCAUUCUGUAAUACUCCUGCAUGCUGCAUCCUUGGAGUUCUUUUCUCCUUUGAUUCUGCAGAACCUGUACUGUUUUGUUUCUCUUUCUGGCUUCCUCUGUCUGUCUCUCUUCACCAACUACAUAAUGCAUUCACUUCUUUUUCUUGGCAUCUCCCUUUCCAAGCACACCCACUCUCCUGGUUUCCAUUAUCUCCCUGCAGACAACUCUCAACUGGCUCUAAGAAAGCUCACUAUAAUUUUCAGCAACCUAAUUCAGUCGUUUGUCCGUCACAAAUAACAGCUCAGGAAAAUCAAAGGAUUUUCUCACUAGCAUCUUAUCAUUCCAUGUCACCUAGCAACUAUCCCAGUGCUUGAUAUUCUGCUACUAGAAACUCCCUACUACACAGAUAAUACCACUGGAAGGUAUAAAGCCACUUGACUGACCUCUCUCCAUUCACAGCAUUUAUAACUGUAAGAAAUUGCCAGUGGUUGACUCUUUCCGACCUUCGAAAGUGGCAAUUUCAUGUGGUUCAGCUUAAUAGUAUUUAUUACCUUGUGCUGUAAUAAUUUUGUAUCUGUAUCUCCCAUGAGACUCAAAGCUGCUUGAUUGAGGAGAUCAUGCUUGCUUCUGCUUUUCAUCAAGUUGCCUAGUACAUGACACUCUGUAAGGAUUAGACCAAGUAGGUAUUGAAUAAUUGUUUGGCGAAUUUAAAAAAUUAAAGAAACAUUUGAAAUCAAUGCACCAGAGGCUAGAGACAGAGUGCUAGGAAGGGAACAGGAUGGGGACAGGGACACCAGAGCAAAGAUAGAGUCAAAGACACAUUUCCAAAAUGGCAAUUCAUGCCUUGUGUCAGUUGUACCCACCUCACAUUCUUUAACACUUAAGGUUUUUCUGGGUAGUAAGUGCAAUACAUUCUUAUUAUAAAACAAUAUAGACAGUUCAGUAUGUAUAAAUGAGGAUAAAAUCAAAAUCACCCACAAUCUCACCACUUUGUGAUAAUAACCAUUAACUUCAAUAUUGAUGAAUUUCCUUGAAUGUUUUAUCUACAAUAUUUCUUUCAUAUAGUUGAUAUCACUCUGUAUGCACAAACUUGUAUCCUUUUUCUAAAUCUUAAUAUCAUAAUAUUAGCAUUUUCUAAUGUUAGUAGAUGUACUUCUUAAAUAUUGCUUUUUAAUGAUAAAGGUUUUUUUUUUUUU